CCUUUUUCUUUGUAUUUGGGUGAGGGUUUUCCCUUUAGGUGAGGGUUUUCUCUCUACUUUUAGCGGGGUUGUGGGGAUGUAGAGGAGCCGUUGAGGAGGCUGUUCUCCUCAUCCAAUCCUGAUCGAUCGGGUCUUUGUUUGUGUUAGGAUGAGGUUCUCCUCCUGUCCCCGACAUAGCCAAUUUCAACUCAUGCUAGGAUGAG
rnacentral:lncRNA from 1 species